rnacentral:rRNA from 1 species
UACAGAGGGGGCAAGCGUUAUUCGGAAUUAUUGGGCGUAAAGGGCGCGUAGGCGGCCUGGCAAGUGACGGGUGAAAGCCCUCGGCUCAACCGAGGAACUGCCUGUCAUACUGCCGGGCUUGAGUCCGGGAGAGGUGAGUGGAAUUCCCAGUGUAGCGGUGAAAUGCGUAGAUAUUGGGAGGAACACCAGUGGCGAAGGCGGCUCACUGGACCGGAACUGACGCUGAGGCGCGAAAGCGUGGGGAGCUAACAGG